rnacentral:rRNA from 1 species
UACGGAGGGUGCAAGCGUUGUCCGGAUUUAUUGGGUUUAAAGGGUGCGUAGGCGGCCCGUUAAGUCAGCGGUGAAAUCCCCGGGCUCAACCCCGGAACUGCCGUUGAUACUGACGGGCUUGAGUUCGGUCGAGGCGGGCGGAACUGGCGGUGUAGCGGUGAAAUGCUUAGAUACCGCCAAGAACCCCGAUUGCGUAGGCAGCUCGCUUGGCCGAAACUGACGCUGAGGCACGAAAGCGUGGGGAGCGAACAGG